rnacentral:rRNA from 1 species
CGAACGCUGGCUGCGUGCCUAACACAUGCAAGUGGAGCGACGAACCAGGCUUCGGCCUGGGGCAGAUCCGCCAACGGGUGAGUAACACGUGGGUAACCUGCCCUGAUGAUCGGGACAACCCGAGGAAACUCGGGCUAAUACCGAAUGUGCCCUCCGGUCACAAGGCCGCUGGGGAAAGGAAGCUUCGGCCUCCGCAUCGGGAUGGGCCCGCGGCCCAUUAGCUUGUUGGUGGGGUAACGGCCCACCAAGGCGACCAUGGGUAGCUGGUCUGAUAGGACGAUCAGCCACACUGGGACUGAGACACGGCCCAGACUCCUACGGGAGGCAGCAGUGGG